GGAAACAAUCACCUGCGGUAACCUGGUUGUUUGCGGGGAUUAAAUUGAGUGACGGAGCUUCCUUCAGUCACUGCAGAGCUUCUGGGUUGAGAGCAGGUUGGUGUUCCUUCAGGUUGGCGGAUCUUUGCGUGUCGGCAACGCAUAUAGUACACGGUAUGAGCGCAGGGUAGUGCCGUGAUAGGGUCAUGGACGGCCGAGAUUGCCACUUUUGUCUUGUCUUUUUGUCUCUUUUUGCCUUUCUAUUUAGC